rnacentral:lncRNA from 1 species
UGUUGUUUCUCAAACGUCGAUGCGCUCAGCGGUUCUCAUUUGACAGAACCAUUCAAUUAGCUGGCUGAAUUCAGAUUAUUUUGCCGAACGAAAAUUAAAAUGCAGUUAAACUCAUUCAGAUGUCAAAGUUAACAUUUCAGACAAUAAUAUGCUCAGAAAGCAAAUCAGUGUUCCGUUUUAUCACCGUACUUGGCAUCAAAUGACUCCCUCGUACAAUGUAAAGCAUGCGAGUGUCACACAAAAAUAUAACCCCAUGAUCUAGAGACGUACAAUGGUUCCGCUUAAUAAAAAUAGAAACCUUCGGUCGUGCCUUUUAUUUUCAAGGCAGGAUAAUGUGUUGUUGCUGCACUACCUUUUUUUUUUUUUAUCUUUUUACUGCUUAUACACUUUUUUAUGUCUCUGGAAAACACCUUGAACAGCAAUUUAUGAAAGGUGCUGUACAAAUAAGUGAUUUAUAUUAUUAUUACUACAUGACACACCAACAGAUGUGUAAGGGGGAGGGGGGUAAAUAUUUUAAUAAUUGAUUUGUAAAUUGAUAUACUCCUUUGUGACACAUCAUGUGUGGAUUGAAUAUAGUAGUCCCUCCCCCAAACCGCAGUCGUUAAUCCGAGGUAAUCUCUUCAUUCGCUCUGUCAGAGAAUAGGCCUACAGUCCAUUGAACUGGAUAAAUUAUACUUUCACCAAACAAAGAUACAAAAAUGAGCAAGGCAGUGCAUCUGCAAAAACACUUGUAUGACUUGACAGAGAGGGAGCGUUUGUCCAAACUCCACAACUGGGAACUUCUGCAGCAGUUUGAGGAUGCCCAGAAGACACUGAAAAAGAUGCUGGACCGCACUGCUGCCAUGAAAAACUUACGGAAAGAAUAUGAGAGUUACCUUUGGAGCUGUUCACACCAGGAUAACCAACUCCAUGUCAAAGCGCAGACAACUCUGCAGAAUGUAAGCUAUCCAAAUGAAUACAGUUAAAUGGUAUUACAAUGCUAUACUACUUAGAAAGAAUGUAACUAAAUAUUGUCUCUCUAAAAGAUGCCCGGGGACAUCAGGUGACAUGUCAGAAGAAUUCUGAUACGUCAUGUACUCUACUUUCACAUGGUUUGUUUUUCAUUUCUUAAAAAAAAACAUAUUUGAUGUUAGGACAAAUUAAUAUCCACAUUUCUUUUACACAUGAACUAUGACU